UCCCAGACUCCUACGGGAGGCAGCAGUGGGGGAUAUUGCACAAUGGGGGAAACCCUGAUGCGGCGACGCCGCGUGUGGGAAGACGGUCCUCUGGAUUGUAAACCACUGUCCCCAGGGACGAAAAUGACGGUACCUGGGGAGGAAGCUCCGGCUAACUACGUGCCAGCAGCCGCGGUAAUACGUAGGUGGCAAGCGUUAUCCGGAUUUAUUGGGUGUAAAGGGCGUGUAGGCGGGAAUGCAAGUCAGAUGUGAAAACUCAGGGCUCAACCCUGAGCCUGCAUUUGAAACUGUAUUUCUUGAGUGCUGGAGAGGCAAUCGGAAUUCCGUGUGUAGCGGUGAAAUGCGUAGAUAUACGGAGGAACACCAGUGGCGAAGGCGGAUUGCUGGACAGUAACUGACGCUGAGGCGCGAAAGCGUGGGGAGCAAACAGGAUUAGAUACCCAUGUA
rnacentral:rRNA from 1 species